rnacentral:rRNA from 1 species
AUACGUAGGUGGCAAGCGUUGUCCGGAAUUAUUGGGCGUGAAGCGCGCGCAGGUGGUUCCUUAAGUCUGAUGUGAAAGCCCCCGGCUCAACCGGGGAGGGUCAUUGGAAACUGGGGAACUUGAGUGCAGAAGAGGAUAGUGGAAUUCCAAGUGUAGCGGUGAAAUGCGUAGAGAUUUGGAGGAACACCAGUGGCGAAGGCGACUGUCUGGUCUGUAACUGACACUGAGGCGCGAAAGCGUGGGGAGCAAACAGGAUUAGAUACCCUGGUAGUCCACGCCGUAAACGAUGAGUGCUAAGUGUUGGGGGGUUUCCGCCCCUCAGUGCUGCAGCUAACGCAUUAAGCACUCCGCCUGGGGAGUACGGUCGCAAGACUGAAACUCAAAUGAAUUGACGGGG